rnacentral:misc_RNA from 1 species
AAGUCGUAACAAGGUUUCCGUAGGUGAACCUGCGGAAGGAUCAUUAAUGAAUGAUAAUUUUUUGGGGUUUUCCCUGAAAAAUAAUUCACCAUUUGUGCACUGUUUUUAGAUAUACUUUGGUUAGAGCUUUGAUUUCAUUUUUUUUGAAGUCAACUUCUUGCUAACUCUAUCCUUUCUGAGGACAGUUGGCUAUGAAGCGGCCUACCAAGGUUUUUUAUCAAACUCUUGUAUUUUGUCUGACCUAAAAUAUCAAUAAUUAAAUCAUAACUUUCAACAACGGAUCUCUUGGCUCUC